UACGUAGGGGGCUAGCGUUGUCCGGAUUUAUUGGGCGUAAAGAGCGUGUAGGCGGCCAGGUAGGUCUGCUGUGAAAACUCGAGGCUCAACCUCGAGACGUCGGCGGAAACCAUCUGGCUAGAGUCCGGAAGAGGAGAGUGGAAUUCCUGGUGUAGCGGUGAAAUGCGUAGAUAUCAGGAGGAACACCAAUAGCGAAGGCAGCUCGCUGGGACGGUACUGACGCUAAGGCGCGAAAGCGUGGGGAGCGAACAGG
rnacentral:rRNA from 1 species